AAAUAACAAUUCUCAUGAAUACAAUUGAACCAAAUUCACAAAACAAAGACAACUAACUACCUAUCUCGUACUAUUCGAUCCUAAGAAAAAUAAAUAAAUACAACAAUAUCUUAAAAGAAAAACUAGUGUGGAGCUAAGUAUUUCCUCUAUUUCUUGUAGUUAUCUUUACUAUCCGUCACCUGUUCGCAAAGAAAAAAAUAAAAUAAAUUACUUCAGUUAGUAAAAAAUAACAACGAUAGAAUACAAUAAAUUUGUAGUCCCGUUGCUUACGGAACUCUAAAGCAUAACAACUUUGUCUGAUGGUCAUGCUACCGAUAACAAAAUUACUGAAUAUAUGCUCCUUUAAGCUUCCAUUUUCUAUAUAUUGAAGUACUAGGAACCUGAAAAGAUAAAAUAGUGCUGCUAAAAGAAUCUAAAUCUAUUUAAAUUAGCAUUUAUUCAGGUACGUACACCUUUAAAAUAUAGAAGUCAUUCCAUCAUAAAAUAUUUAUCAAACAUGAUCCAGAUAGACAAAAAGAGGGAUUCGAAGACAAUAAUUGGAACACUCUAGAGAUUAAAAUACAAAUAUGGGAGAAAUCAUGAAAAGCAACUUCUUGAUUACCAUUUUCCAAAAUUUGGGGGAGCCUGCAAAAUAAAGUCUGUCCAUCGUAAACUUCUUUCCAUGAUAAUCUUAUCAAACCGAAAUUCAGCUCAAUAUUAACUAUUGAAACAAAGAAAAACUAAUUCAAUUUGCAAAAGGACAUUAAAAUUAUAAAGUGCAAGAUUUCAUAACAAGCGUAACUCGCCGAUGAAGUACAAAUGAGUUAUUAGUUACAGAGAUAUAAACCUUCAUAUUAACAAGUUCAAUUUAUUGCAUUGUAACAUGACCAAUGUGGAUUCUCGUAAGGCUUGCAUUUCUCAUAAAUAGUGAUAGUUUUAUGUUAUUAAUCCAAACAAGAAAAAGAUCUCAAGUCCACUAUAAAUUGUUUGUUGCGACCAUAAAUUCCACAAAGAUCUUUUUCGAUAACACGCUUAACAAAAAGCAAAUAUCACCACCUGUCGAGCACAAUCGAAAUCAACUCAAAUUUCACACAAAUAGCCAUCUACACAUUUAAAGAAUGAAAUUUUUGCAUUAUAAUUUAUGUUUAAACGAAUUUUAAAACCUAUUUAUAUACAAAAAGUGCAUGCCUGCAAGGAAUUCAAUGACAACUCUAUCACUUUUCUUUUGGAUCCAAUUAAAAAACUUAAAGUAUCAAUUUAAGGAAGUUUCUUGUUAUUCUCAAAAGACAUAAACCACCGUCUUGUCUACAUAUGAAAACCUCAAACAUAAACUAAAUAAAGCAAGAAGAGAAUUAGAAAGUAAACAACAUUCAAGACAAAAUGUAAAUUAGUUCUCUUGAGUUUUCUCCUGUUUUUCUCCCCAUACCUAUACACUUGAAGCAUUUUUGAACAUACUUAUCUUUCAAUUACUCUUUUUACUAAAAACAUUGAAGGGGAGGAUCUCUGUCAUAUAUUGGCAUAUAAAUGCCAGAAACAUGCACAAAAUUGAUGAGUGAACAAGUAAUAAUAUAGACGCACAUCACAACAUGUAUUAACUAACCUGAUAAUGCAAACAUAUUUUAGGAAGAAGGCGUUCAAGCUUGUCAUCUAA
rnacentral:lncRNA from 1 species